AUUGCUGGGGCACUCUGGGAAAUCCCCGUUGUGCUGGAAAGCCUGCCUGGUCUCAGUGGGCCCCACUCCAGCACUCUUAAGGAACCUUUGCCUGCACGUUGUAAAUCUGGCCUAGAACCAGUUUCUGGGUGCAAGGCUAGCCCUUGGGUUAUAAACAUAGCUUUACCCAUUUAUUGGGGAUGAGGCUAACCCAGUUUUCAGUUGUGAGGCCAGUUCUCUGUCGGGAAUUGGGGGCUGUCAGGGAGUGGGGGCUGUUUUUGCUGUGAGCCAAAGAUGCCAGGCUUAAAGUAACCACAGGGGGAGAGACCGCACCUGCCACUGGAUCCCAGCCCCCUGUGUAGCUGGGCCUUGGCUCAGCCCAGGCAGGUGAGGGGCUGGGCUGGAAUCCCUCUGGGCCUAUGCCUGCAGGGAAGGCCAAAGAGGAGCAAGCAAAAAAGAGGCCCUGGAUGAGGGCUCCAACUCAUCUUCACUGGCCUGGCCUCAGGCAGGAGGCGCUGCCAGCUGGAUGGAACCAUGUUGAAUUCUGAGAAAAAAGCCAAUUGCACACUCCUGCUUCUUCAUUCUGUGUGUUGGAGGACCUGGCCAGAAAGGAGAUUGCUGGAUCCUGGCUCCCAGCAGAAAACACAGUGACUAUUGACCCAUGGCUCAGUGCAAUUCUGCAGAAGAGGAAGGGGUAGGCCAUGGAGAUUUUGGCUGGUACUGUUUCAACUCCUUCCCCAAGAGCUGACAUGCAAAUGCCCAUUCUUUUUACCUGUCAGGAUGGACUGACUGGUGGAGUCAGGUCCUGCUGGCUUUCUUAGUGUCUGGAGAAACUCCCAGCCCCCCUUUGGUUUCACACUCUAACCUGGCAAAGCUCCUCUGUAGCCUUUAUAGCUCUGUAGUCUAUAAACGGGCUGGGCACUGCUUGACUCUGUAUUCUCAAAGACAAGCCAGAUAACUGGUUUUAUAGAAUAGAAAAAAAGGCCCACAGGAUCAAGGAUUCUGGAUGGGAAGAAGCCAGAGAGGAAGGGGUAGAAAUGUCACUUGAAAGACACUUUCAGAAAAAUUUGAUUCUUAGCGUGUCAUCACAGAAGGCAACCUAGGCCAGAAAGGCAUCUCUGGCCAACUUGAGUGACGUUUAGAAUGACUAGCACGAAGGUAACAAUUUCCAAGGGGCCCCUAUCUGGAGAGUCUUUUUUCAAAUCUUAAAUCUAGUUGUUCUCCUUUCACAGCUCUCCCGAUGCUUUGGCAACCAGGAUUGCGUGAUGCAAGAUAGAGCAGUAAGGGACAUUGCAUGCUUGUGUGUUCAAACCACUCACUUUACGAAGAGGCAGUGGCAGCCCAGAUAGAGAAGAGCAGCACGAUCAAGGUCAACAACAGGCCUUGGGAGCAUGUUUCUGUGUUGAGUCCAGAAAUAUGGAGGAUAAGCUCCUACAGGCACUGGAGGAAAGGUCUAGGAUGGCCCCGGCAGACCUCAGUAUCGUCACUCUUGCUACAAUUUCUGGGGUUUAAGCACAGUGUCAGGAAUGUCUACGGCAGGACAUCAAGAUUUGUUCACUGAACAAAUGAGCUGAGUCAGACCUAAUUUCUGACAUUCUAAUUCAGAACUUGGAUAAUACUCAUCUGAAUUCACAACUGAUUGUUCAGUAUGUUCCUGGUUAAUACUCUGCAUUUUAUCAGCAUAUCCCCAAAUCAGGUAACAGUGAUUACUGGCCAUCAUCUGUGAUGGGGCAUUUGUCUGUAGGGAGGAUGAGUAAGGGAAGCAAAAUUCAUACUUAACACGAUGCCUUGUGAAAUGACCCAAUUUCCUUCACCAUGUUAUAAGUAAUACUGUUUUAAUUCUGUUGUUAUAAAACUGAUGCACUACGAUCACUGAGGAUAUAUUCAAAUAACUUUAAUAGGACAAAUUUCUAGCUUCUUGUUAGAACGUACACAGGAAGCAAAGUCCUCAUGUGACGUUCACUCUUCAAGGCUGAGACUGUGGACAAUAUUAUCUUGACAUUGUCCUAGCAUUUCUUACCUGUUCAUAGCAAUACCACCACCCAAGCCACAAAGGUCAAACCGUAUUUAAUUUUUAAAGUCUUGAAACAAGGCCAGUUUGGCUUUGAGGGUUUUCAACUAGCAGUUUCUUGGGCCCCACCUUGGUAUUUUGUAGGUUCACCCCUUUUUGGCCCUUUGGUACUGCCAGGUGAAGGCAAGAUCAAACUGGAACAUGAUUUUGUUGUAGAAUGAGCUCCCUUUAGUCACUUGGAAAGAAACUGCAGGUAGAGUUUCACAGAGUCAUUGCUAGUUCUGGUAGCCAUGUUACAGAGAAGGAAAUGAUAUACGUAAUAUUGUCAGACAGGAGGUGAUUUCUGCUAGGCUUCAAUGGUGAGUACAUCUUCCUGGCAAUGGAGGUAUUGGAUGCCCUUGCACACCAUCCCCAACAACUCAAAACUGUGAUGGUUAAUUUUAUGUGUCAACUGGACUGGGCCACGGGCAGCCCACAGAUAUUUGGUCAAAACUUGUUCUGAGAGUUUCCAAAAGGGUGAUUUUGGAUAAUAUUAACAUUUAAAUCAAUAGGCUGAGUAAAGCAGACUGCCCUCCUAAUGUGGCUGGGCCGCAUCCAAUCAGUUGAAGACCCUAAUAAAAAAGGCUGACUCUCCCCCAAGUAAGACAACUCUCCUGCCUGACUGCCUUCGAACUGGGACAUGAGUUCUUCCUGGAUCUGGAGCCUGCCAGCCUUUGGACAGGAACUACUCUAUUGGCUCUUCUGGUUCUCAGGCCUUCAGACUCAGAAGGUUGUCCUGGGUCUCCAGCUUGCCAACUAACCCUGCAGAUCUUGGGACUUGCCUACCUCCAUAACUGCAUUAGCCAGUUCUUUAUAAUAAUAAAUCUCUUUACACACACACGCCCUACUGGUUCUGUUUCUUUGGAGAACCAUAAAUAAUACAUGUGCCCAGGCCUCGUCUCUCAUUUCCAAGAGCUCAUACCCCAAUCCCAGCAACAUAUCUGCCAGAAGAGGGCUAUGAUGGCCUGUAGCCCUGAAAUGAGAGGACAAACACAUGACACAGGCUGUACCAGAAAGUCAGACGUGAUUUGUCAGCCUUUAUUAACCAAGAGCAAAGCCGAGCCCUAGAGUUUCCUUUUUAAAAAUCCCAACCUUGUUUAUGGCAAACAAUGCUUUAAUUAUAUGUUCAAUACUACAGAGCAAGAAUUAAUAAUUUUCCAAUCACUUAUUCUUCUGAGAUUAAAAUACAAGUGUAAAACAGGUUAAAAUAAGAUUCUCCCCAAUGAUUUAAAAAUAAUUCCAAUUGAAAGACAUUUCAAACACUAUGUGUAGAACUCAGGACCAAAAAAAGACCUUAAAACAUUUUUACCUUUGAGGUAGCACAAUAAUGCUGAAUUAGAUUUCUUUUAAUACAGUGAGCUUAAGAAAACAAUGAGGAGUAUACCUUUUGCUCAAGGUGGGCUAAAUGGUUUUCUGCAAAUCCCCCAUGAGGUUAGUGACAGUUUUCUCCUUUUUUUUUAUAAAUUUUUUUUUAAAAAGUAUAAAGAUAGCCCUGCAGUGUGUAAAAGGAAACCCACGGGAAGGCUGCUUCCCAUAAAAUAGACAUUAGAAUCAUUGAGGAACGUCAGCAGUCAAGACAGGAGGAACAAGAGGUAAUUGUAGUGAAAAACCAAAACAACUUGUAUCUUGGCAAGAUUGGUUUACAAGUGCAUGUCAAGAACAAAAAUUCCAACAUCAGCCAACUGAAAACAAAAGAUAAAAGAUGACAUUCAUGGGUCUUUUUUCUCUUUGUGCAAAACAAUGCUCUUGCCAUUUUUCUAAACGAGAGAUUGGUUUGUACACUGUGACACAACAUGGAAAUGCUGUGUGCCCAGGGUGUUUGCCAGCGGCACCACUGAUGACUCUGCCAUUGUGAGCAGAGAAUCUGGGCGAUAAGAGGAUGAACACGACCUCUACUAGCUAGAGAACCAUUCCUUGCAACUUCGCUGCUGAAUUUGCUCAUUAAACUCCUCAAAGAAAAACUCCACCCUGCUUUCUGAGAAUCUAUGGCAAUUACAUAUAACACAGUUAUAUAUAAGGACUCUCGACUAAGGGGACAGAACCCAUGAACCCUUCCUUCAGAGAAUACAACCAAAAGAGAGUGGAUGUGAUAACCUGGGGCCAGAAGGAAAGAUAAUACUGCAGGUUGGACCUCAAGGCUCUCAGGAACAUUCUCCGCCAUCCAAAAUCAAUAGCAAAGUCAGAAAAGAGGGCUCGUGAAGCUCUAACCCACAGAAGAGAACAAUAUGAAACAAUUAACAAAGGGAUCUCUUCCCAACACACCCUCCCCAUGAGGCUCAACCAUCAGUGCAGGGCUUGCCUGGCACAAAGUGGACACCAGAGCCUUGAGUUAAACUUGUUACCACCUUUGACUUCCCAUCCUGCAAAGAGAAUUGAACAGUUAGACUCCUGGCACCUUGGUAAUGGCUGUGUCCUAUUUCACUUACACUGGUCCCUUUCAGGUCUCCCUUUCUCAAGCCAGACCUCCAAGGGGCUCUUGUAUGCCGUGAAGGGCUAGACUGAUCAUCUAUAUGUCAAUGUGUAAUUAGAUCAGGAGGACUUAAACCUGAUGAAUUCUACUCUGUAAAACAGCAACCAUCAGUGAGUUGGGGGUGUCAAAGAGACUUCUGUGAAGAAGACUAAACUGGGAAGUGCAAGAAGGCAGGAUGAGAAGGCUUCUCCCCAGAAGCAUGCAUAAGUGACUCUGGCACGGAGUUCACAGCCAGUCCUAACUAAUGCUGGAGUGGGGGUGCAAAGGGAGCAUCUGUUUGGUGUUUAAACACAGUCCUCACGUAGUCUGGGGCUAGAUUUCUAUGUCACUCUUGAAGCCCAAUAUACCUGUUUCCUUUGCAAAAAACUGGUGUGGUUCUUGUCAGCUAAAGUGCAAGGUCUGCUUUCUUAACUUAUUUGAUAAUAAAGCAACACCACAGAAAAGAAAAAAAAUCGUGGGAAAACCCACAUGGCUUUCCCAGUGCUAGCUGCCUGUUUUGGAGUAUUAGUUACAACGUUUCACAAUUCAGAGAGCUGCAAUGCAGGCUACCUAGAGCAGUCUGAAAAGAGUCCUGCUUUCACUCCAAGGAGCACAAGAAAAAGGGAGAAUUCACCAAGACUGUGGUGAGUCACCACUCUGGAAAUCUCUCGACCAUACUGUCUGGCAAAAACAGAGCCUGACCUAUGUGGACAAUGGAAGGUGACCAUGUGGGCUCCGUCACUAUCCACAAUAGGAAUGAGUCAAGCCCCAGCAUGUGAUCUCUUAGGGAUUUAUUGAGUUACAUAAGUUUUAAAAAAUAUCGUAAAGGGUUUCUUGAUUUAAUAUAAACUUGGCUAUGACAUUCAAAUUUACCUUUAUGCAAAUUUCACAUUGCUCUUGUAACAUCUGAUUCUAAGUCAUUCUGAAGAAAAAAUUUCAUUCUGAAGUGUAUCUAGCUAAUUAGGAUAAUUCAUCAGAAUUCUACCUGUUAUAAUUAAAAGGCUAAAAAAGUUUUAAAAUACAAGCUAAAUUACUUUCCCCUGGAAUUAACAAUUGGAACCCCAAAUAUCCUAACAUCUUAAUUAGAAAGGUCUUCACAGUAAUUCUAUAAAACUGUAAAUGAUGCCAAGUUUU